rnacentral:rRNA from 1 species
UACGUAGGCAGCAAGCGUUGUUCGGAAUUACUGGGCGUAAAGCGAGUGUAGGUGGUUCGAUAAGUUUGGUGUGAAAUCUCCCGGCUCAACUGGGAGGGUGCGCCGAAGACUGUCGAGCUAGAGUGUGGGAGAGGUAGGCGGAAUUCCUGGUGUAGCGGUGAAAUGCGUAGAUAUCAGGAGGAACACCUGCGGUGUAGACGGCUUACUGGACCACGACUGACACUGAAACUCGAAAGUGUGGGGAGCAAACAG